rnacentral:rRNA from 1 species
UACGUAGGUGGCAAGCGUUGUUCGGAUUUACUGGGCGUAAAGGGCGCGUAGGCGGCGCGGUAAGUCACUUGUGAAAUCUCUGAGCUUAACUCAGAACGGCCAAGUGAUACUGCAGUGCUAGAGUGCAGAAGGGGCAAUCGGAAUUCUUGGUGUAGCGGUGAAAUGCGUAGAUAUCAAGAGGAACACCUGAGGUGAAGACGGGUUGCUGGGCUGACACUGACGCUGAGUGCGCGAAAGCCAGGGGAGCAAACGGG